GAUGAACGCUGGCGGCGUGCCUAAUACAUGCAAGUCGAGCGAACGGACGAGAAGCUUGCUUCUCUGAUGUUAGCGGCGGACGGGUGAGUAACACGUGGAUAACCUACCUAUAAGACUGGGAUAACUUCGGGAAACCGGAGCUAAUACCGGAUGAUAUUUUGAACCGCAUGGUUCAAAAGUGAAAGACGGUCUUGCUGUCACUUAUAGAUGGAUCCGCGCUGCAUUAGCUAGUUGGUAAGGUAACGGCUUACCAAGGCAACGAUGCAUAGCCGACCUGAGAGGGUGAUCGGCCACACUGGAACUGAGACACGGUCCAGACUCCUACGGGAGGCAGCAGUAGGGAAUCUUCCGCAAUGGGCGAAAUCCUGACGGAGCAACGCCGCGUGAGUGAUGAAGGUCUUCGGAUCGUAAAACUCUGUUAUUAGGGAAGAACAUAUGUGUAAGUAACUGUGCACAUCUUGACGGUACCUAAUCAGAAAGCCACGGCUAACUACGUG
rnacentral:rRNA from 1 species